rnacentral:rRNA from 1 species
GAGGAGCUUGCUCCUUGGGUGACGAGUGGCGGACGGGUGAGUAAUGUCUGGGAAACUGCCCGAUGGAGGGGGAUAACUACUGGAAACGGUAGCUAAUACCGCAUAACGUCGCAAGACCAAAGAGGGGGACCUUCGGGCCUCUUGCCAUCGGAUGUGCCCAGAUGGGAUUAGCUAGUAGGUGGGGUAACGGCUCACCUAGGCGACGAUCCCUAGCUGGUCUGAGAGGAUGACCAGCCACACUGGAACUGAGACACGGUCCAGACUCCUACGGGAGGCAGCAGUGGGGAAUAUUGCACAAUGGGCGCAAGCCUGAUGCAGCCAUGCCGCGUGUAUGAAGAAGGCCUUCGGGUUGUAAAGUACUUUCAGCGAGGAGGAAGGCGUUGUGGUUAAUAACCGCAGCGAUUGACGUUACUCGCAGAAGAAGCACCGGCUAACUCCGUGCCAGCAGCCGCGGUAAUACGGAGGGUGCAAGCGUUAAUCGGAAUUACUGGGCGUAAAGCGCACGCAGGCGGUCUGUCAAGUCGGAUGUGAAAUCCCCGGGCUCAACCUGGGAACUGCAUCCGAAACUGGCAGGCUAGAGUCUUGUAGAGGGGGGUAGAAUUCCAGGUGUAGCGGUGAAAUGCGUAGAGAUCUGGAGGAAUACCGGUGGCGAAGGCGGCCCCCUGGACAAAGACUGACGCUCAGGUGCGAAAGCGUGGGGAGCAAACAGGAUUAGAUACCCCUGGUAGUCCACGCCGUAAACGAUGUCGACUUGGAGGUUGUGCCCUUGAGGCGUGGCUUCCGGAGCUAACGCGUUAAGU